AGUGAAAUUGAACUCGCUGUGAAGAUGCAGUGUACCCGCGGCAAGACGGAAAGACCCCGUGAACCUUUACUAUAGCUUGACACUGAACAUUGAGCCUUGAUGUGUAGGAUAGGUGGGAGGCUUUGAAGUGUGGACGCCAGUCUGCAUGGAGCCGACCUUGAAAUACCACCCUUUAAUGUUUGAUGUUCUAACGUUGGCCCCUAAUCGGGGUUGCGGACAGUGUCUGGUGGGUAGUUUGACUGGGGCGGUCUCCUCCUAAAGAGUAACGGAGGAGCACGAAGGUUGGCUAAUCCUGGUCGGACAUCAGGAGGUUAGUGCAAUGGCAUAAGCCAGCUUGACUGCGAGCGUGACGGCGCGAGCAGGUGCGAAAGCAGGUCAUAGUGAUCCGGUGGUUCUGAAUGGAAGGGCCAUCGCUCAACGGAUAAAAGGUACUCCGGGGAUAACAGGCUGAUACCGCCCAAGAGUUCAUAUCGACGGCGGUGUUUGGCACCUCGAUGUCGGCUCAUCACAUCCUGGGGCUGAAGUAGGUCCCAAGGGUAUGGCUGUUCGCCAUUUAAAGUGGUACGCGAGCUGGGUUUAGAACGUCGUGAGACAGUUCGGUCCCUAUCUGCCGUGGGCGCUGGAGAACUGAGGGGGGCUGCUCCUAGUACGAGAGGACCGGAGUGGACGCAUCACUGGUGUUCGGGUUGUCAUGCCAAUGGCACUGCCCGGUAGCUAAAUGCGGAAGAGAUAAGUGCUGAAAGCAUCUAAGCACGAAACUUGC
rnacentral:rRNA from 1 species